UGGUAACAAAGCAGUCUCUGCUGAGAUCCCAGAGCCAGUAGCUACCACUCUAAGGAGAGCUGACUCAACCACUUUGGACUAAUAAAUAAAUAAAUAAGUUUGUACUGCCAUUGCAGUCGUCGUCGUCGUUGCCGUGGACACCGUUGUCAACAGAACAACAACGCCCGACGACCCACCACUACUGGAGAUCAAUGACUGAACUAUGAACCACGCUGGACCAUGGUGUUGUCACUCUGCAGGAAGGUGGUAGUGAGAUUUGUGUAUAAGAGAUUUUCUAUGAUCUGGCAUCCUAUGGUAAUAUGUUGACCUGACACUCCAGAGCAAUAAUUCUGCUGAAUGUUAAAGAAAUUGCUUUCAAAGGCAGACUAGACUGCAGUGAUCACGUCCAGGUGGAAUUCACAGUCCUAAGAAGUACAGCUUAAAUGAAGAGUAAAUAGAAUAAAAGAGAAUGGAAUUCUUUCAAUAGCAAUGGAUUCAGAAGAUCAUUCAGUCCAACUGUCACCAGGGGCUGACCCACAGUUAAACAUGGACAGACACAAAGCAUCAGCCACAUGCCUAGGAAGCUGUAAGAGACUAUUCUUUUAUAUCAUUGACUCAAAGUUUGCUGAGGAUCAAGUCCAGGCAAGUCCUGGGCAAAGGCAGAGAAAUCUUUUGUCUUGAGGACACUGAUGGACAGGUCCUGGCUAAGGAUUGUGAAAUCCUCUAAGGAGCACAGAUGGACAAGGCCAGGGGCAUCGAGAGAGAGAUAAGCUGCUGCUAAUGGCCGGGAAGCGGUCUUUUUGUGUGGACUUUUCUCAAGGAAAAUGGCCAUCUCAGGAGGUAUGCACAGGACUCUUGCUCAAGCACCCAGGAAUGUCACGUAGACAGCAGAAAAUGGAGAAUAAAAGAGGGUCCAAUAACCACAACGCUGGAAGCUGAUCCUUCACCACAACCACGGCAACGGGAGAGGCUUAUCUCUCACCACGACAGACUUGAGGGGUUCUCUGCCAACUGAUCUCUCACCGCAACGUGUAGACGGAUCUCUACGUGGAGACUGAUCUCUCACCACGACACGAGCUUCCUGCCUUCCGAUCCUCCUCUACGGACCGUUUGCUGACGGACUUCCCUGGGCCUGCUACCUGAGACCUGCUGCUUCCUCCCUGGCCUGCAUCCUCUCGCUGCCCCAGACCGGCCUCGCUGCUCCUGCCCUUCGGCCUCGGACCGUCGGAACGUCGUGCAACGGGACUGCUGCCGGAUCCUGGUGCUUAAUAUGAAAUCUUCAAGCUUCCACUGGGUAGCAUCUCUUCAUUUAUGUGUGUCCACUGCACCACUCAGCUUGGUGUCAUAUGCAGACUUGCUGGGAGUACACUUGAUCCCACUGUCCAUGCCACCUAUGAAGAUGUUAAAUAGCACUGGUCCCAGUACUGAUCCCUGAAGAACACCACUUGUCAUUGGUUUCCACUUGGACAUUGAGCUGUUGACUGCAACUCCCUGAGUGUGACCAUCCAGCCAAUUCCUUAUUCAGCUAGUGGUCCAUCCAUCAAGUCCAUUUUUCUCCAAUUUGGUGAUGAGGAUGUCAUAUGGGACAGCAUCAAAUGCACAAAUUGCAAAUUGUCAAAUGGCACAAAUCCAGCUGGAUUCAAAUACAUGUAGGUGAAGAAAAUGCAAGAAAACAAAACAAACAAGGUUGACAAGAGUUACACUAAAUGAUUAAAAAAAUGAAACCAGCUCUGUGAAAAACAACAAAAAAAGAGAAAAUUAAACAACAAGGAGAUUAAAUAGGAGAGCUUAAUAUUGUACAACAGAUGGAAGGUUUUGUCUACAACGUGAAGGAAAUAAGGAAAUUUUCUGCAUUAUGAAACAGAUCUGAGGAAAGACAAGUCAAAUUAAUGCAUGCAACAUAAGUAUAUUAGCUGUAUGAAAUAAAGAGUAACUUUAUCAUUUUAAUUCAAAAGUGCACAGUCAUUUUCCUGAUUUGUUUUCCUUUCACUUGCACAAAAGCAAAGAUGUGGAC
ensembl:lncRNA